AAAAUACAGUAUGAUACACAAGAAAGAGAAACAAACAAUACAGCUUUUAAAAGACAGGCGAUGGAAGGAGAAAGCACGUUGAAUAAUCUUCAAUGGAGUGAUUGCAGAAGCAAGAUAGUGGAGUUAGACCACAGACCAGAAAGCAAGAAGUUCACUUCCCAAAUUCCUUCCUGAAUUCUUCAGAGCAAUAGCCUUGGACCUUGCUAUACAAAUAGCAACUUCAGAAUUUUUAAUGGUGGGGCAGUUGUUCCCAGAUGGAAACGUGAAUUCCGCUCUUUCCA
rnacentral:lncRNA from 1 species